rnacentral:lncRNA from 1 species
CAAGAAAGCUCUGAAGUUAUGGUGCGCACAUGAGAUCUGGCGUGUGUGUAGAGGAUGAUCAUUCCCGAUCCCCCCUCCUAACCUUAUAUACUGGCGGCUAGGUCUUGAACGUGAUAAUCAGGAAGGUUACAAUCAAAUCAGUACAUUCUGGUAUAGUAAGAUUACGUUUCUUGGCUUGAGCCGCACUUUGAGGGAUUCGACCUGCAUAUACUUGACGGGCCUUCGAGCGGACCCCCUGUUAAUCUGUAUCGGGUAUAUGAAGGUUGAGGAUUCGAAUGGUCAUUCCCUCGUCAAGCGGCCCUGUCUCCACUAGUUUUGGAAAAAUAAUACCACACACAUAGGAUAAAAAUCCUAUUUAAUGAUACAUAAGAAGAAAAAAUAUGGUUCCCUGCAAAAAGAAAAGAAAAAUAUGGUUGACAUAUCUUCAAUCAAUGGGUCAAGGAGUUCGGUGAAUCAAUUUAAAUGAUUUUAUCCAAUGCUCCGUGUGAUGGAGUCAUAAUUGAUUAAUUCUCCCUCGAAAGGAAAAUCUUGCAUCAAAAUUUAAACACAGAAGUCUACAGACGAGGAGCUAAUGAAAUAAUACAAAUGCUACGGCCAUUUACUAAAAAAAACGAAAGAGGCAUCUUUGAAGUCAACAGAGUUUGAACGAUCGUGAGACAUCGCAAUAGAAAAACAAAUUCAUUCAAGUAUCUACUCUAAGCGU